CAUGGUUGUCGUCAGCUCGUGUCGUGAGAUGUGGUUAAGUCCCGCAACGAGCGCAACCCUCGACCUUAGUUGCCAGCAUUCAGUUGGGCACUCUAAGGUGACUGCCGGCUAAAAGUCGGAGGAAGGUGGGGAUGACGUCAAAUCAUCAUGCCCCUUAUGACCUGGGCUACACACGUGCUACAAUGGGCGGUACAAAGGGUCGCGAACCCGCGAGGGGGAGCCAAUCCCAAAAAGCCGCUCUCAGUUCGGAUUGCAGGCUGCAACUCGCCUGCAUGAAGCCGGAAUCGCUAGUAAUCGCGGAUCAGCAUGCCGCGGUGAAUACGUUCCCGGGCCUU
rnacentral:rRNA from 1 species